GAUGAACGCUGGCGGCGUGCCUAAUACAUGCAAGUCGAGCGAACAGAUGAGGAGCUUGCUCCUCUGACGUUAGCGGCGGACGGGUGAGUAACACGUGGAUAACCUACCUAUAAGACUGGGAUAACUUCGGGAAACCGGAGCUAAUACCGGAUAAUAUAUUGAACCGCAUGGUUCAAUAGUGAAAGACGGUUUUGCUGUCACUUAUAGAUGGAUCCGCGCCGCAUUAGCUAGUUGGUAAGGUAACGGCUUACCAAGGCGACGAUGCGUAGCCGACCUGAGAGGGGGAUCGGCCACAGGGGAACUGAAACCCGGCCCAGACCCCUACGGGAGGCAGCAGUAGGAAAUCUUCCGCAAGGGGCGAAACCCUGACGGGGAAACGCCGGGUGAGGAAUAAAGGUUCUGGGACCGAAAAACCUUUUUAUUGGGGAAAAAAAAAUGUGAAAGAAACUAUGCACGUCUUGACGGGCCCAAAUCAAAAACCCCGGGCAACCUAGGG
rnacentral:rRNA from 1 species